rnacentral:rRNA from 1 species
CGCGGCCUAUCAGCUUGUUGGUGGGGUCACGGCCCACCAAGGCGACGACGGGUAGCCGGCCUGAGAGGGCGACCGGCCACACUGGGACCGAGACACGGCCCAGACUCCUACGGGAGGCAGCAGUGGGGAAUAUUGCGCAAUGGGCGGAAGCCUGACGCAGCGACGCCGCGUGAGGGAUGAAGGCCUUCGGGUUGUAAACCUCUUUCAGCAGGGACGAAGCGAGAGUGACGGUACCUGCAGAAGAAGCACCGGCCAACUACGUGCCAGCAGCCGCGGUAAUACGUAGGGUGCAAGCGUUGUCCGGAAUUAUUGGGCGUAAAGAGCUCGUAGGCGGUCUGUCGCGUCGGCUGUGAAAACUCGGGGCUCAACCCCGAGCCUGCAGUCGAUACGGGCAGACUAGAGUGCUGUAGGGGAGACUGGAAUUCCUGGUGUAGCGGUGAAAUGCGCAGAUAUCAGGAGGAACACCGGUGGCGAAGGCGGGUCUCUGGGCAGUAACUGACGCUGAGGAGCGAAAGCGUGGGGAGCAAACAGGAUUAGAUACCCUGGUAGUCCACGCCGUAAACGGUGGGUGCUAGGUGUAGGCGGUAUUCCACGCCGUCUGUGCCGCAGCUAACGCGUUAAGCACCCCGCCUGGGGAGUACGG